AGCAGUAGGGAAUCUUCCGCAAUGGACGAAAGUCUGACGGAGCAACGCCGCGUGAGUGAUGAAGGUUUUCGGAUCGUAAAACUCUGUUGUUAGGGAAGAACAAGUACGAGAGUAACUGCUCGUACCUUGACGGUACCUAACCAGAAAGCCACGGCUAACUACGUGCCAGCAGCCGCGGUAAUACGUAGGUGGCAAGCGUUGUCCGGAAUUAUUGGGCGUAAAGCGCGCGCAGGCGGUCCUUUAAGUCUGAUGUGAAAGCCCACGGCUCAACCGUGGAGGGUCAUUGGAAACUGGGGGACUUGAGUGCAGGAGAGAAGAGUGGAAUUCCACGUGUAGCGGUGAAAUGCGUAGAGAUGUGGAGGAACACCAGUGGCGAAAGCGACUCUUUGGCCUGUAACUGACGCUGAGG
rnacentral:rRNA from 1 species